rnacentral:rRNA from 1 species
GAGCGGCCGAUGUCGGAUUAGCUAGUUGGUAGGGUAAAGGCCUACCAAGGCGACGAUCCGUAGCUGGUCUGAGAGGAUGAUCAGCCACACUGGGACUGAGACACGGCCCAGACUCCUACGGGAGGCAGCAGUGGGGAAUUUUGGACAAUGGGGGCAACCCUGAUCCAGCCAUUCCGCGUGAGUGAAGAAGGCCUUCGGGUUGUAAAGCUCUUUCGGCAGGAACGAAACGGCGGGCUCUAACAUGGCCUGUCAAUGACGGUACCUGAAGAAGAAGCACCGGCUAACUACGUGCCAGCAGCCGCGGUAAUACGUAGGGUGCGAGCGUUAAUCGGAAUUACUGGGCGUAAAGCGUGCGCAGGCGGUUUUGUAAGACAGCUGUGAAAUCCCCGGGCUUAACCUGGGAACUGCGGUUGUGACUGCAAGACUAGAGUGCGGCAGAGGGGGGUGGAAUUCCACGUGUAGCAGUGAAAUGCGUAGAGAUGUGGAGGAACACCGAUGGCGAAGGCAGCCCCCUGGGUUGACACUGACGCUCAUGCACGAAAGCGUGGGUAGCAAACAGGAUUAGAUACCCUGGUAGUCCACGCCCUAAA